UUGCUAUUAUGACUAUCUUAGGACACCUUUGGAAAUAACCAUGAAAAAAAUGCAUUCUGAACAAC
ensembl:snoRNA SNORD58 Small nucleolar RNA SNORD58